UGCUCUUGUCCUUAAAAUUAUUUGCAUUCUUGAAAACUAUUGUGUAACGUUUAUGCUAUAUCGUAUUGACUCAUAUAGGCACAUGUAUAUCCCAUUGUUCCGCAUUUGCUUUCGAUAUGUGCUUAUUCCAGUUUCAUUCCUUUGGACAUUGAAUUCAUCUAACCUUCUUAUUUGAAUUGAGUUAUAUGUGAUUGCUUGGAAUCCUUGAAUGCUCUUGCUUUCAUUUCCUUUCAAAUCUGAAUACAUUUGUGAAAGAUUAUUGCUUACUUCGUAUUGACUCGUAAAGGCACAUGUACGCUUUGUUGUUCCGCGUGUGCUU
rnacentral:lncRNA from 1 species